rnacentral:rRNA from 1 species
UGAUGAAAGGCCUUAGGGUUGUAAAGCUCUUUUACCCGGGAUGAUAAUGACAGUACCGGGAGAAUAAGCUCCGGCUAACUCCGUGCCAGCAGCCGCGGUAAUACGGAGGGAGCUAGCGUUGUUCGGAAUUACUGGGCGUAAAGCGCACGUAGGCGGCUUUGUAAGUUAGAGGUGAAAGCCUGGAGCUCAACUCCAGAAUUGCCUUUAAGACUGCAUCGCUCGAAUCCGGGAGAGGUGAGUGGAAUUCCGAUGUGUAGAGGUGAAAUUCGUAGAUAUUCGGAAGAACACCAGUGGCGAAGGCGGCUCACUGGACCGGUAUUGACGCUGAGGUGCGAAAGCGUGGGGAGCAAACAGGAUUAGAUACCCU